rnacentral:piRNA from 1 species
UACUUAAUCACCAGCUGCUCCAGAGGUC